CCUACGGGUGGCUGCAGUGGGGAAUAUUUCACAAUGGGGGAAACCCUGAUGCAGCGACGCCGCGUGAGGGAAGAAGGAACUCGUUAUGUAAAGCUCUAUCAGCAGGGAAGCAAAUGACGGUACCUGAGUAAGAAGCCCAGGCUAACUACGUGCCAGCAGCCGCGGUAAUACGUAGGGGGCAAGCGUUAUCCGGAUUUACUGGGGGUAAAGGGAGCGUAGACGGCAGUGCAAGUCUGGAGUGAAAGGCGGGGGCUCAACCCCCGGACGGCACUGGAAACUGUACGGCUGGAGUGCAGGAGAGGUAAGUGGAAUUCCUGGGGUAGCGGUGAAAUGCGUAGAUAUUAGGAGGAACACCAGUGGCGAAGGCGGCUUACUGGACUGUAACUGACGUUGAGGCUCGAAAGCGUGGGGAGCAAACAGGAUUAGAUACCCCUGUAGUC
rnacentral:rRNA from 1 species